AUGUGCCAACUGAACCAGUACUGGAGCUGUUGCACCUUCUUUGCACCAAGAACUCAUGGAGAAAACUCCCUCCACAAACCGCUGUCCUUCUGAGUGAGAACCAUCGGGACUAGUCUUCAUGUUGUGCCGAAUGUACCUUGUUCUUAAGAGCAGGAUAUCCAGCAAGUUACUCUAAGAAAGCAACACAACACUGAAAGGGAAAAUUCCAUUGUGCUAGAAGAAUCCAAAUGUUAUUUCAGAGCUUUACGCAGUCUCCCAGAUACCUGGGAACCCAACUGUGAAGAUUGCAGGCAUAAUGAAAUGGGAAAGAAUUUAGAAAGUGAAUUCAAACAGAAGAAUCUAUGGGAGAAGUUCAGAUUUGUCUUGCCUUUCCUAAGCUUUUUCUCUGAAACACUCAUGAAACGAGAAAUCCUUUGAGAAGCUCACCUCACAGCUACCACCUCACAAGAACAGUGAGCUGUGUUUGGAGAGAUGCUUCCUGCAAACCAGUCACUCACUUGCAGGACUGAAGCUUUCCUAGCUUAUACCCAGUGAAAGCAUUACCGUGCCUCUUUUCUAUGGUGAUAUGUAACUUUCUUUUCAGUGCAAAUGUGAUGCAUUGAAUAGCUCUGCUUUCCUGUACAACAGAACUGAUAAAAUUUCAUCUCAUCAUUCACGUAGGAAAGAAUACAUCCAUUUGGUCAGGCUCACAUUUUAACUGAACAGAACCUCUAUUUGAAGUGCAUCCAAUUUUGAUUUAUGGAGCUGGUGUGAAUAAUUUUGUAUGGACGUGCUUCAGUUAAAUCUGUUUUGGGUUUUUGUUGUUGCUGCUGUUGCUGUCGUCUUUUCUCUUUCAUUUUAUGGUUAGAGUUAGAAACUGCGAUCCUUGGUGUCAGAGACUUGUUUCUGAAACGACCCACUGAGAUGACCUGUGGUUGUGUUCCAUGAUUUACCACAGAGAAAAUACAAAUAAAAGCACUGG